AUAAUAAUUAUUUUGUUCUGAUCGAACGUUUGUUGCAUCUGUAGUAGGUGGGGAAUUUUUAUUCCACAAUAGGAGUGGGGAAAAUAGUACAUGUCCGGUCCGGUCCGGUUCGGUUAGUUAUCGAACCGAAGAGAGCUUUCCCAAUCUCAAAAUACAAUCCAACGGACGAGAUUGAAUACAUCUUAAUCUCUAUUUUUAAACCCACUCGUCCAUCGACGAAUCGCUGCUUCCGUCGUUUACCUCUCGAUGCAAAUGUUAGCUCAGUCGCACUUCCUCUGCAAGUCCUUCUCUCUGAUUCCGCCGCCGUCUCCGGUGCUGCGGUCUGCGACUCGCUCUCUUCAUCUCUCUUCUUCGCAAAGCGGUAGAUUAUCCUUUCCAUCGUCUUCCUUAACCGCUGGUUCGAUCUCCCGCUGUACAAUGGCUUCGAACUCGAAACGGCCUGACCUAAGCGAAGAUUCCUCUUCGGAACUGAGCGCCACCGAUUUGGAUCGAUUCGCCGCCGUGGCAAAUUCACUGGCUGACGCUUCUGGCGAAGUCAUCAGAAAGUACUUCCGGAAGAAGUUCGAUAUUGUUGAGAAAGACGAUAUGAGUCCUGUUACUAUAGCUGAUCAAAUGGCUGAAGAGGCCAUGGUGUCUAUUAUUUUCCACAACUUCCCUUCUCAUGCUAUAUAUGGUGAGGAGAAGGGGUGGAGAUGCAAAGAGGAAUCUUCAGACUAUGUUUGGGUUUUGGACCCAAUCGACGGAACAAAGAGUUUUAUUACAGGGAAACCAGUGUUUGGUACGUUGAUAGCUCUGCUUUACAAAGGCAAACCGAUUCUAGGUCUAAUUGAUCAGCCUAUUCUAAGAGAGAGAUGGAUAGGAAUGAGUGGAAGAAGAACUAAGUUAAACGGGAAGGAUAUCUCAACGCGAUCUUGCCCGAAACUGUCACAAGCAUAUUUAUACACCACUAGCCCACAUCUUUUCAGUGGAGAGGCAGUAAAGGCCUUUGCUCGAGUUAGAGACAAGGUAAAGAUGCCAUUAUACGGCUGUGAUUGUUAUGCUUAUGCUCUUCUGGCUUCUGGAUUUGUCGAUCUUGUUAUUGAAUCCGGUCUAAAGCCAUAUGAUUUCCUAGCUCUGGUGCCUGUAAUAGAAGGCGCUGGAGGUACCAUAACCGAUUGGAACGGUAACCCACCUCUUUGGGAAGCUUCAUCCAGUGCCGUUGCUACAAGCUUUAAUGUAGUUGCAGCUGGAGAUUCAAACAUUCAUCAGCAAGCAUUGGAGUCACUUGAGUGGCAGUGAAAAGCUUUCACUGAUUAAUUAAGAAGACCUCAAAUUUCUGCGUGUAGUUGACUAUAGGAUUCAAGUUUUGAUUCAGUGGAAUUAGUGUUUGGUACUUUGGUCUGCAACCGUUGUUAGAUAAUGUAUUAGAGCUGGUGAAGCUCGAGCUCAAGCUCGAUGAAGAUGGUGAUGAAGAGAGAGAGAGUAAAGUUUGUUAGAGAUUUCAAACUGUAAUUUUCACUUAAUGAAAAAUAAACGUAUACAAUGAGUAUUUAUAUGUACAUUGCUAACCGGUUUAAUCAUAUAUACAAUCCGGUUUAAUAACUCUAAUAUAAUGUUCACAUGAAACGUUUCUUUCUUUAGAAGGGCUACUUUUGUGCUAUUAAUCUCUUCUCAUUGUUGAAACCCUGCAAUCUUUUAUAUAAAUAAUUGUGAAACGUUUGGAUAUUAAACUCUUCACAAGUGUUUGUAGGAGAGGAAGUAUAGGUGAGUCACAGAUUGUGGAAAGAAAUUUAGAGAAACCAUGAAAGGAUAAUAAAAUUUUAAAAACCAGAAAUAGAAACCAUUUCCUUCAAUUAAGCAAAUGUGUUUCUCUUUCUCUCUUUCCUCUUCCUUCGGUUUAGCUAUAUAAAUGAAUAGCUUCAACUUUUGUUUCUUGUAUAUUGUUUUUGUUAUCUUUCUCUCUAUUAUAUCUGUAAACUAUGGAAAACAUAAGUGGGUUGAUGGCUUUUGACAUGGGGGAGCUAAGAAACAACCUUCCCAAAAAGAGAGGAUUGUCAAGGUUCUACUCAGGGAAAGCAAGAUCAUAUGUUUGUAUCUUUGAUGUUAAAUGCCUUGAAGAUCUGAAGAAACCAACCCAACUUCUUGAUAUUGAUGAUGAUGAUGUUGCGUACACGAAGAGGAAGAAGAAGAAUAAGCAAUCGUCUUCAUCUUCAUUUUCUGCUGCUGUGAACAGCAAUGUUAACUAUCAAAACUACCCUUGUCGUAGAGUUUCUAGUAGCACACAUUGUUCCUCACCUUGUGUUAGUGCUUAGAUUUUAAAAGACAGGUUCUCAAUUUAUCACAAACCUUCAUCAGUACGUUAUAUUAACAUCCCAUUCACAUCCAA